rnacentral:rRNA from 1 species
GAUGAACGCUGGCGGCGUGCCUAAUACAUGCAAGUCGAGCGAACAGAUAAGGAGCUUGCUCCUUUGACGUUAGCGGCGGACGGGUGAGUAACACGUGGGUAACCUACCUAUAAGACUGGAAUAACUCCGGGAAACCGGGGCUAAUGCCGGAUAACAUUUAGAACCGCAUGGUUCUAAAGUGAAAGAUGGUUUUGCUAUCACUUAUAGAUGGACCCGCGCCGUAUUAGCUAGUUGGUAAGGUAACGGCUUACCAAGGCAACGAUACGUAGCCGACCUGAGAGGGUGAUCGGCCACACUGGAACUGAGACACGGUCCAGAGUCCUACGGGAGGCAGCAGUAGGGAAUCUUCCGCAAUGGGCGAAAGCCUGACGGAGCAACGCCGCGUGAGUGAUGAAGGUCUUCGGAUCGUAAAACUCUGUUAUUAGGGAAGAACAAAUGUGUAAGUAACUGUGCACGUCUUGACGGUACCUAAUCAGAAAGCCACGGCUAACUACGUG